UGUUGUGGAGAGAUAUAGUGGACGUGGGAGUCGAUGCCGCCGGCGGUGAGGAUAAGAUGUUCACCGGUGAUGGCGUCAGUGGAAUUGCCUACGAUGAGAUUGGGAUCGACGCCAUUCAUCAUGGACGGGUUGCCGCUCUUGCCAAUACCCACGAUUUUACCGUCCCUGAUUCCCACGUCGGCUUUAAUGACCCCCUGCACGGCAUCGAUGACGGUGACGUUGGUAAUGACGAGAUCAAGCACGCCAGCAUCGCGGUUCAAGCGGGCAUCACCGCCCAUGCCGCCGC
rnacentral:sRNA from 1 species